rnacentral:tRNA from 1 species
GAUGUAGCUCAGUGGUAGAGCACUUGCCUAGCAUGUGCAAGCCCCUGGGUUCAAUCCCCAGCAUC